CUUAUGAUGUGAAAAUAGUAAAGCUUAUCUAAGCAGAGCUUGGUGCACCAACCACUUUCCCCUAAUGAUCUGUUCUGGCUCAUACUAGCACUGAAGUGAAUCCUGUUUUAAUUUGUUUUCUUUCUUCCAAGAGCAAGGGUAAAGCAGCGAUAACAAGCACUAAAUAGCCAUGCAGCAUACUCACCAGCUAGGUGUAAUGAUUAUACCACUGACUGAGAGAAGAGCAAAGUUCCUACCUAAGGCUUGAUGGUGCUACAUAUGCUAUAAUUAAUAUGUCUAAUUGAGCAUUUUAUUGUCCUCAGUAAAGUAAGCUGCUUGUCUUGUUUCCCCUGUCAGUUCAAUCUCUACUUUUUCAGGUUCAAAAUUCAAGGUUGUUGCUUCCCUUGUCAAAGCUUAAUUAUUUAUUUUUUUUUUAAUUUUUAUUUUUUUUUGCAGUUGGUAAGGAGCAAUCAAAGCCUAGCAGAUAUGAGUAGGAAACCACUGGAAUACAAGGGACUGUAAACUCAAUCAUCACUAAGUUCUGAUUUUGAAGCCACUGAGAAGGGUAAGCUUCUCAAUAAGAUUGCCUGAGCAGUACUGGCAAUGCCCUGGUGCCAGAGAGAAUAAGCAGUUUG
rnacentral:lncRNA from 1 species